UACGUAGGGUGCAAGCGUUAAUCGGAAUUACUGGGCGUAAAGCGUGCGCAGGCGGUUUUGUAAGACAGAGGCGAAAUCCCCGGGCUCAACCUGGGAACUGCCUUUGUGACUGCAAGGCUUGAGUGCGGCAGAGGGGGAUGGAAUUCCGCGUGUAGCAGUGAAAUGCGUAGAUAUGCGGAGGAACACCGAUGGCGAAGGCAAUCCCCUGGGCCUGCACUGACGCUCAUGCACGAAAGCGUGGGGAGCAAACAGG
rnacentral:rRNA from 1 species